GUAACUGGUGCAGUAUACCAGACUGGGAUGGGAAGAGUGGGGUAUGAAGCAUGCCUGGUGCAUUCUACAGAUGGCUUGGUGGUUCUUUACUUUUUCACCUGUGAGUGGGGCUUGCAGCCCUCAGGUUCAUCCCUUCUGCAUUCCUGCUGUCUUCACUCCUGUCUACCCCUUAUCACCCUACCCUGGACUCCAGCAACAGCAAGUCCUGAGUGUUAACCCCCUCCCUGCUGCCAGAGUAAUGGCCUGUUAACACUGCACUCAUCAUGUGCUUUUGCCACACUCUCGUGCUUUGUACUCUUCUUGGUCCAAACUUUUGCUGAUGCUUGACUUAAGCCCCUCUGCCCCUUCCUGCCUCCCCCAGGAGCACACCAGUUAUUGCAUAAUACAAACAAAGGCCAUGUUUAUUCAGUUCUUAUUCUGUCCACACUCACAGGGACUCCCUGCUCCCAUCCUGCAAGGAUUCUGCUUUUAUACAAAGUCUGUAGACACUGUGAACGUAGAUUAAAGACAGGGAGUGACAAUGCAGGUUGAGAGUCUAUCUGCCCUGUGGAUAGACUGUGUGACCUUGGUCAAAAGACUUAACUGCUCAGAGCUUCACUUUCCUCUUCUUAAAGUAUAGAUCAGUGGGUCUGUUUCACAAGUAAACAGAUUGUGUCUGUAGUGGUAAUUAAAACUGUUCACUAAAUAUUUUCUGGUUCCUUCUUUCCCCCAGGAGUGUGGUAGAAAUCCGCUACCCCAUCUGCUUAAGAUUAGAUGUGGCCAUGUGAGUUGCACAGACCAAUGGAAUGAGAGCAGAAAGGAUAUUCAUUGCUUUUGGCUAGAAACUGGUAAGGGCCAAUGGGCAGGUGCCCAUUCUUGACAAUCCUGAAAGUUCAAUCUCAACAGUCUUAUCUUGACAACUAUGGGGUACAGUGAGGUGUCUCCAUAAGAAUGGCAGAGCUGCCCCACUAACCUUCAUUGAAAAAGUAUUUGGAUAGCUCUUGUCGUAUGCUGAUCCUCUUUUUUGUUUUGUUUUGUUUUGUUUUGUUUUGUUUUUGAUGACAAACCCUAUUUUCAGUUAAGGAGACCAUAUCAGAAAGGUGAAGAAAUUUGCCUGAGGUUACACAGGUGGUAAAUAACAGCACCAGGAUUUAAGCCCUACCUGUCCACUUCCAAAGUGCGUGCUCUUCUUCCACACAGGCCGUGCUACCACUCCUUAAAUGGAAAGAAUGGAAACAGUACAAUGCCUGGCACUCAGUCAUGCCCAAGCACAGGGAGUUCCUUUGCAGACUGAAUUCCUAUAGCAUUUAUAAUUUGAACCACACUUCAGCACAAUGUUAUCAUGCCUUGUCUCAAGCGUUUUCACACAGAUAAAGCAUUUCCUCCAACAAAAUCCCAGGAUUCUUGAUUAAGAGCUCGAGUUCUGGAAUCAGACCGCCUGGGUUCAAAUCCCUGUUCCGCUACUAGUAAUUGAGCAUCUUCCCUUUCUAGCCCUUGUUUCUCUCGUCUGCAAAAUGGUGAUGGAAAUAACAUAGGUGGUAUGGGUGGUGGUAUCAGGAUGGCCCAGGGGGUUGGUAUGAAGAUGAAGAGAUAUAAUAUACACCCUCAAUAAACCAAGGCUCUUAAUAUCAUACUUAUUUUUUGUCUUCCGUGGCUCCUGCAAGAAUUCAGGCAAUUGUGAGCAGUUUAAUCACACUGCCCAGUUAGACUCUGGCUUCAUUCUGGAUAUGAGAGCGAUGUUCUAACAUCCAGAGUGUCCUACAACUUACAUUUACAUAGGCUCACUGCUUGUUCUUUAUUACCCUUUUAUUUUGAAAGCAAUUUAAAAGAAAGAAAGUGUGUUUGCUUUCUUGAGAAAUCUUUGUUCAGAUAACACAGUAAUGCCCGUUAUCAUUUAUCUACUCCUGUCUACCAGGACCUUUGCAUGUAUUACCCCU
rnacentral:lncRNA from 1 species